rnacentral:rRNA from 1 species
AAAUGAUACUUUUUGUUUUUUUGAAUUUUUUUAUUAUUAAUAUUUAAUAUAUUUUGAUUAAAUAAAGUAUUAUUAUUUAAAGUAUUUAAAGAAUUAUUUUGAUUUAUUAAAGUAAAAUGUAUAAAAAUAGAAUUAUAAUUAAAUUAAUAUAAUAAAAAAUUAUUUUUGUACCUUUUGUAUCAGGGUUUAAUAAAAAAAUUUUAAAUAAAUUUUUCUCGAAUAUUUAAGAUUUAAUUUUUUAUAAUUUUAAAUGUUGAAAAAUUUAAUUUAAUAAAAAAUUGGUAAUGAAAAGUUAAUUCGUUUAAAUAGGAUUCUAGUUUUUAAAUAAAUUAAUUUAAUUAAGCUAUAAAUAAUUAUUAUAAUUUUAUUAUAUUUAUUUAUUUAUAUGUAAAUUGUAAAGAGUUUAUUUUUUACAAUUUUUAUAUUUAAUAAAAUAUCUAAUUUUUUCUAAAUUUAAUAUUUAUAAUGAUUAAUAGUUUUUAAAAAAAAAUAAUUAGUAAAAUUUUAUUUAUUUUUUAUUAAAUUUUUAUUUAAAUGAAAAUUUUAAUUAAUUAAAUUAUUUAAUAAUAUUAAAAUUAGUAAAUUUAAAAAUUUAAAAAUAGUAAUUCAGCAAAUUUAUUUUUCGCCUGUUUACCAAAAACAUGUCUUUAAGAUUAUAUUUAAAGUCCAAUCUGCUCACUGAUUAAUUUUAAAGAGCCGCAGUAUUUUAACUGUGCAAAGGUAGCAUAAUAAAUAGUUUUUUAAUUGAAAGCUGGAAUGAAAGAUUAGACGAGAAAAUGACUUUCUUUUUUUAAGUAGAUUGAAAUUAAAAUUUAAGUUAAAAUUCUUAAAUUGUUUUAAAAGACGAGAAGACCCUAUAGAUUUUUAUUUAAUAAUUAAUUAUUAGAAAAUUAAUAAUUUUUAUUAAAUUUAAUUGGGGCGAUUAUGUAAAAUAACUAACUUAAUAUUUUUAAAACAUAAAUAAUUGAAUAUUUUGAUCUAAAAAUUUUAAUUUAUAGAUUAAAUUACCUUAGGGAUAACAGCGUAAUUUUAUUUAAGAGCUCGUAUCUAUAAUAAAGUUUGCGACCUCGAUGUUGAAUUAAGAAAAAUAUAUGAGUAGAAACUUAUAAUUUUUAGUCUGUUCGACUAUUAAAUUCUUACAUGAUUUGAGUUCAGACCGGCGUGAGCCAGGUCAGUUUCUAUCUUUAAAAUAUUUUUAUAAAUAAGUACGAAAGGACAAUUUAUAAAUAAAAUUUUAUUACAAAUU